rnacentral:misc_RNA from 1 species
GAAAUGCGAUAAGUAAUGUGAAUUGCAGAAUUCAGUGAAUCAUCGAAUCUUUGAACGCACAUUGCGCCCCUUGGCAUUCCGGGGGGCAUGCCUGUUCGAGCGUCAUUUCAACCCUCAAGCUCAGCUUGGUAUUGAGCGUCCGCCCGCGAGGGCUGGCUCUAAAAUCAGUGGCGGCGCCGCUGGGUCCUGAACGUAGUAAACACUCUCGUUACAGGCGCUCGGCGUGCCCCCGUCUCACAAACAUUCUAUGGUUGACCUCGGAUCAGGUAGGGAUACCCGCUGAACUUAA